UUAUCCAGCGAGUUCAGGGAGAAGUGGAAGAUGAGUCCUCUUUGGACUCGCCUCUCCUUUCUUGUUUUCCCGACACGUGCUGGCCCUAAGAUUUUCCAUUUUUUGUUGCUGGUUCAUACUAUAUUUUUGGGUUGGGGUAUCACAUACUUGAUGCCAUCUAAUAAAUCUUUGGAGAUACCCUUAAUUUCUUUUAAGAAACCCUUGGAGGUAGCUUGAACUAAUGUUGGAGUUGUAGAUGAACAUCACAAAUCUAAUAACGAAUACCUUAAUUUCUUCUUUCUUCCUUUUUGCUCUAAUCCUUACC
rnacentral:lncRNA from 1 species